rnacentral:rRNA from 1 species
GGGUUGUGAGGUUAAGCGACUAAGCGUACACGGUGGAUGCCCUGGCAGUCAGAGGCGAUGAAGGACGUGCUAAUCUGCGAUAAGCGUCGGUGAGGUGAUAUGAACCGUUAUAACCGGCGAUUUCCGAAUGGGGAAACCCAGUGUGUUUCGACACACUAUCAUUAACUGAAUCCAUAGGUUAAUGAGGCGAACCGGGGGAACUGAAACAUCUAAGUACCCCGAGGAAAAGAAAUCAACCGAGAUUCCCCCAGUAGCGGCGAGCGAACGGGGAGGAGCCCAGAGCCUGAAUCAGUGUGUGUGUUAGUGGAAGCGUCUGGAAAGGCGCGCGAUACAGGGUGACAGCCCCGUACACAAAAAUGCACAUACUGUGAGCUCGAUGAGUAGGGCGGGACACGUGGUAUCCUGUCUGAAUAUGGGGGGACCAUCCUCCAAGGCUAAAUACUCCUGACUGACCGAUAGUGAACCAGUACCGUGAGGGAAAGGCGAAAAGAACCCCGGCGAGGGGAGUGAAAAAGAACCUGAAACCGUGUACGUACAAGCAGUGGGAGCCUCUUAAUGGGGUGACUGCGUACCUUUUGUAUAAUGGGUCAGCGACUUAUAUUCUGUAGCAAGGUUAACCGAAUAGGGGAGCCGAAGGGAAACCGAGUCUUAACUGGGCGUUAAGUUGCAGGGUAUAGACCCGAAACCCGGUGAUCUAGCCAUGGGCAGGUUGAAGGUUGGGUAACACUAACUGGAGGACCGAACCGACUAAUGUUGAAAAAUUAGCGGAUGACUUGUGGCUGGGGGUGAAAGGCCAAUCAAACCGGGAGAUAGCUGGUUCUCCCCGAAAGCUAUUUAGGUAGCGCCUCGUGAAUUCAUCUCCGGGGGUAGAGCACUGUUUCGGCAAGGGGGUCAUCCCGACU